rnacentral:lncRNA from 1 species
GGAGGCGCCCCAAGAGGCCCACGUCCAAACCCCGGGAACCUGUACGUGACCAUUCCAGGUGUCUGACCCAGGUGCAGGUGCAGCUGCGGGAGUCGGGCUCCAAGGCUGUGCAGCCCACACUGGUCCUGUCCCUCAUCUGUGCUGCUCUGGGGACACUACUCCAGCAACAGUGCUGUUUGGAACCUGCUCUGGCAGCUUCCAGGGAGAGGUCUCCAGGAACCGGGAAAGACAUACUAACGUCCAGGUGGCAUAAAGGGGACUGCACCAUCCCGCCAAGAAAAACCACCUCUUCCUGAUGUGCGCAUCCUGUGAUCUUCCAGAUAACACAAAUCUUGUUUUUCCUGAAACCCAAGAUCGUUUUACUAUAUAACAAAGUCCCUGCUCAGCCUGGACCACUGUUUCCGUCUUGGCUCAACGAGGAUAUGAACUACGGCACACCUGCUGCCUCUCCCACCGUCUUCCAUAGUGGUUUGCUAUCUACCCUUUCCAUUCUCUGUUUGUUCAAAGUGAAUCACCGAGGAGAAGUGACAGCAGGAAAACGGUGGAGAAGGCAGCUCCGAGUUCUCGUCCCCACCAGAACAUCACAAACAAGCAGAAACGGUCAGAACUGACAUCCUCAAACUCGAAAACAGUCAAAGGUCUGCAGCAACUAAGUGAACACUGAAUCAAGUAAAAAGAAACUUGGAAAGAAGAAAAGGAGAGAGAAAGGGGCAGAGAGAAUAUUUGAAGAAAUAAUGGUCCAAAACUACCCAAAAU